AUUGAACGCUGGCGGCAUGCCUUACACAUGCAAGUCGAACGGUAACGGGUCCAUCGGGAUGCCGACGAGUGGCGAACGGGUGAGUAAUAUAUCGGAACGUGCCCAGUAGUGGGGGAUAACUGCUCGAAAGAGCAGCUAAUACCGCAUACGACCUGAGGGUGAAAGGGGGGGAUCGCAAGACCUCUCGCUAUUGGAGCGGCCGAUAUCAGAUUAGCUAGUUGGUGGGGUAAAGGCCUACCAAGGCAACGAUCUGUAGUUGGUCUGAGAGGACGACCAGCCACACUGGGACUGAGACACGGCCCAGACUCCUACGGGAGGCAGCAGUGGGGAAUUUUGGACAAUGGGCGCAAGCCUGAUCCAGCAAUGCCGCGUGCAGGAAGAAGGCCUUCGGGUUGUAAACUGCUUUUGUCAGGGAAGAAAUCUUCUGGGCUAAUACCUCGGGAGGAUGACGGUACCUGAAGAAUAAGCACCGGCUAACUACGUGCCAGCCGCCGCCGUAACAC
rnacentral:rRNA from 1 species